rnacentral:rRNA from 1 species
UCAGAAUCUGAAGAAACUAAUUCUGUAUGGAGAAACAAAAAAUCUCUCAUUUCCGACGUGAAUAGAUUUUUUUAUUUCGAAAUAAAGGUUCUUGUCUUGUGGGGAACGAUGCACAAAAUUUUGGAAUCCGGUACCAACAGGUAUAAUCCCCCCAGAACGGGUGAAAUUGUGCAGCUGGAGGCCAUAGUACUCCAGGAGCCCACGAAGGAACAGAUGGAUUGGAAAUCCGAUGCCCCUCAUCAAGUAAGGGAAAAGGAACACUCACUCCCCCCUGGAUGGGUUGGGAAAACUCUCUGCUUGCUCCCCGCCGUCAAAGGUGGCUAA